GAUGAACGCUGGCGGCGUGCCUAAUACAUGCAAGUCGAGCGAACGGACGAGAAGCUUGCUUCUCUGAUGUUAGCGGCGGACGGGUGAGUAACACGUGGAUAGCCUACCUAUAAGACUGGGAUAACUUCGGGAAACCGGAGCUAAUACCGGAUAAUAUUUUGAACCGCAUGGUUCAAAAGUGGAAGACGGUCUUGCUGUCACUUAUAGAUGGAUCCGCGCUGCAUUAGCUAGUUGGUAAGGUAACGGCUUACCAAGGCAACGAUGCAUAGCCGACCUGAGAGGGUGAUCGGCCACACUGGAACUGAGACACGGUCCAGACUCCUACGGGAGGCAGCAGUAGGGAAUCUUCCGCAAUGGGCGAAAGCCUGACGGAGCAACGCCGCGUGAGUGAUGAAGGUCUUCGGAUCGUAAAACUCUGUUAUUAGGGAAGAACAUAUGUGUAAGUAACUGUGCACAUCUUGACGGUACCUAAUCAGAAAGCCACGGCUAACUACGUG
rnacentral:rRNA from 1 species